CAGUAGCCACGGUAAUACGAAGGGGGCUAGCGUUGCUCGGAAUUACUGGGCGUAAAGGGAGCGUAGGCGGAUCGUUUAGUCAGGGGUGGAAUCCCGGGCUCAACCUCGGAACUGCCUUUGAUACUGGCGAUCUUGAGCAUGGGAGAGGUGUGUGGAACUCCGAGUGUAGAGGUGAAAUUCGUAGAUAUUCGGAAGAACACCAGUGGCGAAGGCGACACACUGGCCCAUUACUGACGCUGAGGCUCGAAAGCGUGGGGAGCAAAUGGGAUUAGAUACCCCCGUAGUCCCUGUCUCUUAUACA
rnacentral:rRNA from 1 species